GCACAAUUAACCCGCCCAGCUGCACACAGCGGGAGGAACCCGCCCGGCCGAACAGAGUCCCUUCAUUUCUACCUGAAAAAUUUCCAAGUGCUCAACCAGUCUUUCAAACUUUUUUGGAACAUAGUAUAUGAAGAAGAAACAAUCAACCAACCAACAACAACUAGCCCAGAAAAUCCUCUCUGGGUGCAAAGCAGGGAACAUUCCAGCAGCAACAGACAAUAGUUCCUAUUACAGGAUUACAAGCCUCUAGCUACAGAGCCAGGAAUCUGCAACUCCUGAUUAUAUCUUUAUAGUAAAGAUCAAGUCAAGGAAGAGAAUCCCACCAAUCCCUGAGCUUGCUACAGAAUCCCACCAAUCCCUGAGCUUGCCCCCAAAUCAGGCCACAUAAUCCCUUGGUUGGAGAACCUUGCUAUUAAGGUAGCAGUCCUCCAUGACUCCAUAGCUUUCUGAACUAGGUGCAAAAUGGGGGACUUCCAUUCUCAGCAGGGCUUCCCGGUCUCUGCCUGUCUUUGGAGAGUGUCCCUGAACACAGGUGACUGGCCUUGUCUGAGAAGUGACCCUUUGCAAGGCUGCAUAACUCAGUCCACAUGUCUCACUCUGGCUUCCCGCCAACAUAAUUAGGUGCUGUAUUAUAAUCAAUCGGCUCCUCCUGCUCUCUUGAUGUCAUGACCA